rnacentral:rRNA from 1 species
GACGAACGCUGGCGGCGUGCCUAACACAUGCAAGUCGAACGGGACCUCACGGAGCGAGAUUUCGGUCAAGCGAAGUGAAAGUCAAGUGGCGGACGGGUGAGUAACGCGUGAGCAAUCUACCUUUCAGAGGGGGACAACAGCUGGAAACGGCUGCUAAUACCGCAUAAUGCAGAGUGAUCGCAUGGUUGCACUGCCAAAGAUUAAUCGCUGAAAGAUGAGCUCGCGUCCAAUUAGCUAGUUGGUGAGGUAAAGGCCCACCAAGGCGACGAUUGGGAGCCGGACUGAGAGGUUGAACGGCCACAUUGGGACUGAGACACGGCCCAGACUCCUACGGGAGGCAGCAGUGGGGGAUAUUGCGCAAUGGGGGAAACCCUGACGCAGCAACGCCGCGUGAAGGAAGAAGGUCUUCGGAUUGUAAACUUUUGUCUUGUGGGAAGAAUCAAUGACGGUACCACAGGAGGAAGCCACGGCUAACUACGUGCCAGCCGCCGCUGUAA